CUUGGGAGCAAAUUCACUUGGAGGACAAAAUAAGAGAAACCACUGUAUACAAGUUAUUACAGUUUUUUAAGAUAUCUUCUCAUUAGAUGAAUAUUCAAGUUAUCUUUAAUUGUGGGUCCUCCAGCUUUGUAAUUUUGUUCAGAAUUGUCUUAACCAUCUAGAAAAAGGAUUUAACUAUGCUACUACACUAGUCACAUGGAGGUUAAAAGGACAAGGUCAUAAAGAGAACAAAGUUCCUAUUUCUUUCUUCCAUGCAGUGUUGUAGCAGGGAAGUGGACUCAGUGGACCGUGACUCGGAGCUCCAGACGUGACUCAGCAGUCACAGAGAGUGAUGCAUGAGGAAAGCAGCCACUAUGAACCUUCACAAACUUAGAGGAGAAUUCCAAGAGUAUCUGCCAAGUCAGUAAGAAAACCAAAUCUUCUGAUUUUCCCCAGAGAUGAGUAAUUGGACUCAGAGAAGAAAAGUAACAUUGGUGACAUGUGUAACCAGGAUUCACUCACACCCCCGCCUGUCAUCUCCAAAAGGUAGAUGGCCAAAACUUGUUUUAUGCUUCAAUUUGAUAAGAUUAGUUUCUAAGAGAAAAAGAACUUUGCUGUACUUUUUUACUGUGAAAGAAUGAGUUGAGGGAUAAGCUAUCACACAUAACUCUGUUUUCUCCAAGUUGCAGGAGGUUGAGGGGGAGAAUCCAGAGGCUGUGGAUGACAGUUGCAACGCAGUCAAAGUGAUCAUUCAAUUCUGACACCAUACAAAACUAACACUGUGAUCUCAGGAGUAUACCCUUUCUUCCCUUGUCCAUUUAUAUCAGUCAGGGUCUGGUCAGAAAAAAAGAAGCCACUCUAAGUAUAUAGAGUAAGAAAUGGUUUAAUAUAGGAAUUAAAGGCUGGGCAAGUAAAGCUCAGGAAGACCCCUUUUAGGAAACUUUAAAGUACAGUUCUUGUUCUAUAACCAAUUGUUUCAGUUGCUGGGAGCACUGACUUGGUGAUUCUGAGGAGGAUACCCAAAAGCAGUGAGAAAAUUCCACACUGCUUCUACUCUCCCAGUAGCUGCUAUGCAGAACAAUGGCUUCCCCUUCCCUUCUACCUUCCAAAUCUCAUGCAAUUUCUUCUUAUUGGUGGAAUCCAUUUGGGAUCCUGUUUGCAAUGGAGGAUAGAAAUUGUAAUUUCUAGACUUCAUGCUCCUGGGGACAGGGAAAAGUAUAGACUAACAGACAUGAUACUGAGUACUAACAAAUUAUAUGUGGUACACUGUGUCUAUUUGUUCACCAUUAUUGGUAAAAACUCACAAAUAUAUGUUGAUUGAAUUAAUGGAUGCAGAAGGGUCCCAGUCCUGGAACAGGAUUUCUUGCUGGGAAUCAAGAUUCCUCUGCACCGUCAUUCAGUGAUGCCAUGUGCUCCAGGCCCUGAUGGCACUCUGAAGCCCUUAAUGGCCUGCUGCUAACUUGACUGUAGAAGAAGCAGAGGUGUGUUCCCCACCUCUCACUGAGGUGGGCCAUGUCACUGCCUCAGGUGCUGCCGAUGUACAUGUAAACCCAACCACAUCCCUCUGCUGUUUCAAAUAACACUUCGGUCGCUUUCUAUUGACUUUAGAAUAAAAUCUGAACUUUUUUCCAUGA